GGAAGAAGAAGAAGAGGAGGAGGAGGAGCAAGAGGAAGAGGAUGAAGAAAAAGCCCCCCCCCCAAGAUGGAGACAUGAAACAUUACAGUGCCAUUUUCAAAUACGAAGGACAAUAUAAGUACCAAGGAACGAACCCUGAGUCUGUGAAGAAUGAAUAAAGUUGCUUGGAUCUGCCUUCAAAACAAGAUAUAAAUAGCCUGGGAGUUGGUCAGACCUUCAUUUCAAACCUUUGAAAGAGAAAUUCCACAUAGCAGGGGCAGAGCCAUUGGUUUGGUGACCAGGAGAAUGAACCUGUAAUGAGGGAACAAUCUGCUGCUGAUAACAAAGGAAACCAAAC